AAUCCCAAUUCACCAAUAUUACUCUGUGAAUCUUUAUAUAUAUGGAUGCUAGUUUUAAAAGUUUGAAUCGACUCCAACAUCUUACCCUUUUGCUCUAGAACCAACCUAUUAAAUCUUUCCAUUUUCUAAAUCCCUUCCAAUAAUUCACCUUGAUUUUUCUUCAAAUGUUCAAACAUACCCAGAAGAAUCUCUUGUUGUAAAGGUUGCAUUUCCAUUGUCUAAUGGCAGAAGGGCUAUGGUA
rnacentral:misc_RNA from 1 species